rnacentral:snRNA from 1 species
UCAUCGCGCUUGGUUGAAA